rnacentral:rRNA from 1 species
GACGGAGGAUGCAAGUGUUAUCCGGAAUCACUGGGCGUAAAGCGUCUGUAGGUGGUUUAAUAAGUCUAUUGUUAAAGCUUGAGGCUUAACUUCAAAUCAGCAAUGGAAACUAUUAGACUUGAGUAUAGUAGAGGUAAAAGGAAUUUCCAGUGGAGCGGUGAAAUGCGUAGAUAUUGGAAAGAACACCGAUGGCGAAGGCAUUUUACUGGGCUAUAACUGACACUCAGAGACGAAAGCUAGGGUAGCAAAUGGG